rnacentral:rRNA from 1 species
GACGGGGGAUGCAAGUGUUAUCCGGAAUCACUGGGCGUAAAGCGUCUGUAGGUGGUUUAAUAAGUCAACUGUUAAAUCUUGAGGCUCAACCUCGAAAUCGCAGUCGAAACUAUUAGACUAGAGUAUAGUAGGGGUAAAGGGAAUUUCCAGUGGAGCGGUGAAAUGCGAAGAUAUUGGAAAGAACACCGAUGGCGAAGGCACUUUACUGGGCUAUUACUAACACUGAGAGACCUAAGCUAGGGUAGCAAAUCGG